UGGGGAAUAUUGGACAAUGGGCGAAAGCCUGAUCCAGCCAUGCCGCGUGUGUGAAGAAGGCCUUUUGGUUGUAAAGCACUUUAAGUGGGGAGGAAAAGCUUAUGGUUAAUACCCAUAAGCCCUGACGUUACCCACAGAAUAAGCACCGGCUAACUCUGUGCCAGCAGCCGCGGUAAUACAGAGGGUGCAAGCGUUAAUCGGAAUUACUGGGCGUAAAGCGCGCGUAGGUGGUUAUUUAAGUCAGAUGUGAAAGCCCCGGGCUUAACCUGGGAACUGCAUCUGAUACUGGAUAACUAGAGUAGGUGAGAGGGGAGUAGAAUUCCAGGUGUAGCGGUGAAAUGCGUAGAGAUCUGGAGGAAUACCGAUGGCGAAGGCAGCUCCCUGGCAUCAUACUGACACUGAGGUGCGAAAGCGUGGGUAGCAAACAGGAUUAGAUACCCUGGUAGUCCACGCCGUAAACGAUGUCUACCAGUCGUUGGGUCUUUUAAAGACUUAGUGACGCAGUUAACGCAAUAAGUAGACCGCCUGGGGAGUACGGCCGCAAGAUUA
rnacentral:rRNA from 1 species